UUGACCUCAAAUCAGGUAGGACUACCCGCUGAACUUAAGCAUAUCAAUAAGCGGAGGAAAAGAAACUAACAAGGAUUCCCCUAGUAACUGCGAGUGAAGCGGGAAGAGCUCAAAUUUGAAAUCUGGCGGUUCCUUGGGCCGUCCGAGUUGUAAUCUAGAGAAGUGUUACCUGUGCUGGACCGUGUACAAGUCUCCUGGAAUGGAGCAUCACAGAGGGUGAGAAUCCCGUCUUUGACAUGGACUGCCUGUGCGACAUGGUGCGCUCUCGAAGAGUCGAGUUGUUUGGGAAUGCAGCUCAAAAUGGGUGGUAAAUGCCAUCUAAAGCUAAAUAUUGGCGAGAGACCGAUAGCGAACAAGUACCGUGAGGGAAAGAUGAAAAGAACUUUGGAAAGAGAGUUAAACAGUACGUGAAAUUGCUGAAAGGGAAACGCUUGAAGUCAGUCACGUCGGCUGGAAAUCAGUCUUGCUUCUGCUUGAUGUACUUUCUGGCUCGACGGGUCAGCAUCAGUUUUGACCGCCGGAUAAAGUCAUUGGGAAUGUGGCAUCUUAGGAUGUGUUAUAGCCCGUUGUCGCAUACGGUGGUCGGGAUUGAGGAACUCAGCACGCCGCGAGGCCGGGUCUUUUGACCACGUUCGUGCUUAGGAUGCUGGCAUAAUGGCUUUAAUCGACCCGU
rnacentral:rRNA from 1 species